rnacentral:rRNA from 1 species
UACGGAGGGUGCGAGCGUUGUCCGGAAUCACUGGGCGUAAAGGGCGCGUAGGCGGCCUGCUAAGUCGGACGUGAAAUCCCUCGGCUCAACCGGGGAACUGCGUCCGAUACUGGUGGGCUCGAAUCCGGGAGAGGGAUGUGGAAUUCCAGGUGUAGCGGUGAAAUGCGUAGAUAUCUGGAGGAACACCGGUGGCGAAGGCGGCAUCCUGGACCGGUAUUGACGCUGAUGCGCGAAAGCCAGGGGAGCGAACGGG